rnacentral:rRNA from 2 species
GGAUCAAUGGAUUGGUCAUGCCGUUGGUAUGAACUGGUCAUAUUGGUUCUCACCUUCUAAGGAACCAUAAUGUCAUUAAUUUGAUGUUUUGGGGAAUUAGGACUGUUACCUUGAAAAAAUUAGAGUGUUUAAAGCAGGCAUACGCUUGAAUACAUUAGCAUGGAAUAAUGAAAUAGGACAUCGCACUCUAUUUUGUUGGUUUCUAGGAUCGAUGUAAUGAUUAAUAGGGAUAGUUG